UACAGAGGUCCCAAGCGUUGUUCGGAUUCACUGGGCGUAAAGGGCGCGUAGGCGGCCACCGCAAGUCGGUUGUGAAAUCUCCGAGCUUAACUUGGAAACUGCCAUUGAUACUAUCUGUCUUGAAUAUUGUGGAGGUGAGCGGAAUAUGUCAUGUAGCGGUGAAAUGCUUAGAUAUGACAUAGAACACCUAUUGCGAAGGCAGCUUCUACGCCUAUAUUGACGCUGGAGGCACGAAAGCGUGGGGAUCAAACAGG
rnacentral:rRNA from 1 species